rnacentral:rRNA from 1 species
UACGUAGGGGGCAAGCGUUGUCCGGAAUUAUUGGGCGUAAAGAGCUCGUAGGCGGUUUGUCGCGUCUGCCGUGAAAGUCCGGGGCUCAACUCCGGAUCUGCGGUGGGUACGGGCAGACUAGAGUGAUGUAGGGGAGACUGGAAUUCCUGGUGUAGCGGUGAAAUGCGCAGAUAUCGGGAGGAACACCGAUGGCGAAGGCAGGUCUCUGGGCAUUAACUGACGCUGAGGAGCGAAAGCAUGGGGAGCGAACAGG